rnacentral:rRNA from 1 species
UACGGAGGGCGCGAGCGUUAAUCGGAAUUACUGGGCGUAAAGCGCGCGUAGGCUGUUGUGUAAGUUGGGGGUGAAAUCCCACGGCUCAACCGUGGAACAGCCCUUGAUACUGCGCGACUUGAAUCCGGGAGAGGAUGGCGGAAUUCCAGGUGUAGGAGUGAAAUCCGUAGAUAUCUGGAGGAACAUCAGUGGCGAAGGCGGCCACCUGGACCGGUAUUGACGCUGAGGCGCGAAAGCGUGGGGAGCAAACAGG